GAUGAACGCUGGCGGCGUGCCUAAUACAUGCGAGUCGAGCGAACGGACGAGAAGCUUGCUUUUCUGAUGUUAGCGGCGGACGGGUGAGUAACACGUGGAUAACCUACCUAUAAGACUGGGAUAACUUCGGGAAACCGGAGCUAAUACCGGAUAAUAUUUUGAACCGCAUGGUUCAAAAGUGAAAGACGGUCUUGCUGUCACUUAUAGAUGGAUCCGCGCUGCAUUAGCUAGUUGGUAAGGUAACGGCUUACCAAGGCAACGAUGCAUAGCCGACCUGAGAGGGUGAUCGGCCACACUGGAACUGAGACACGGUCCAGACUCCUACGGGAGGCAGCAGUAGGGAAUCUUCCGCAAUGGGCGAAAGCCUGAUGGAGCAACGCCGCGUGAGUGAUGAAGGUCUUCGGAUCGUAAAACUCUGUUAUUAGGGAAGAACAUCUGUGUAAGUAACUGUGCACAUCUUGACGGUACCUAAUCAGAAAGCCACGGCUAACUACGUG
rnacentral:rRNA from 1 species